rnacentral:rRNA from 1 species
CUCCUAUUCCAAUGUAGGUUCACUGUCCGGAUUUGGACCAAAAUUUGCACUUGGCUUGGCAUCCUUGACUCCUCACCAAUGAUUUGGCGUCACAAAGACUCAGUUAGAGAUUGGUGGCUCAAGGCGGUUAAUGCUGGAGGUGGCUGCAGGAAGGCCAUCGCCUCCUUGAUGAUGCUUAUCUCGUGGAAAAUUUGGAAGGAGCACAAUGCAAGAAUUUUUCAAAAUGUCUCUGCCCCGACCUCCAUUGUUAUCGCAAAAAUCAAAGAGGAGGCUCAUCUCUGGUCUUUGGCGGGAGCCAAACAACUUAGUAUUGUUAUGUCGUGA